UACGGGGGGGGGCAAGCGUUGUUCGGAAUUACUGGGCGUAAAGGGCUCGUAGGCGGCCAACUAAGUCGGACGUGAAAUCCCCAGGCUCAACCUGGGAACUGCGUCCGAUACUGGAUGGCUUGAAUCCGGGAGAGGGAUGCAGAAUUCCAGGUGUAGCGGUGAAAUGCGUAGAUAUCUGGAGGAAUACCGGUGGCGAAGGCGGCAUCCUGGACCGGCAUUGACGCUGAGGAGCGAAAAGCCAGGGGAGCAAAGCGGG
rnacentral:rRNA from 1 species